CCUACGGGGGGCAGCAGUGGGGAAUUUUGGACAAUGGGGGCAACCCUGAUCCAGCCAUGCCGCGUGAGUGAAGAAGGCCUUCGGGUUGUAAAGCUCUUUCGGCCGGGAAGAAAUCGCUCAAGCUAAUACCUUGGGUGGAUGACGGUACCGGAAGAAGAAGCACCGGCUAACUACGUGCCAGCAGCCGCGGUAAUACGUAGGGUGCGAGCGGUGAUCGGAAUGACUGGGCGUAAAGCGUGCGCAGGCGGGGGGAAUCCCCGGGCUUAACCUGGGAAGUGCGUGUGUGACUGUGGUGCUCGAGUGCGGCAGAGGGGGGUGGAAGUCCACGUGUAGCAGUGAAAUGCGUAGAGAUGUGGAGGAACACCGAUGGCGAAGGCAGCCCCCUGGGUCGACACUGACGCUCAUGCACGAAAGCGUGGGGAGCAAACAGGAUUAGAUACCCGUGUAGUC
rnacentral:rRNA from 1 species